GCGGGUUUAGCUCAGUUGGGAGAGCGUCAGACUGAAGUCAAACUUCGGGAUUCGAAAUCUGAAGGUCGUGUGUUCGAUCCACACAAACCGCA
rfam:Fusarium oxysporum f. sp. raphani 54005 unplaced genomic scaffold supercont1.2, whole genome shotgun sequence.